GUGAGGAAUAUUGCGCAAUGGAGGCAACUCUGACGCAGCCAUGCCGCGUGCAGGAAGAAGGCGCUACGCGGUGUAAACUGCUUUUAACCGGGAAGAAACCCCAGGACGUGUCCUGGGUUGACGGUACCGGAGGAAUAAGCACCGGCUAACUUCGUGCCAGCAGCCGCGGUAAUACGAAGGGUGCAAGCGUGGUCCGGAUUCAUUGGGUUUAAAGGGUGCGUACGCGGAGCGUUAAGUCAGUGGUGAAAUCCUGCAGCUAAACUGUAGCCUUGCCAUUGAUACUGGCGCUCUUGAGUGCACUUGAAGUGGGCAGAAUGUGCCGUGUAGCGGUGAAAUGCUUAGAUAUGGCACAGAACACCAAUUGCGAAGGAAGCUCACUAAGGCGAUACUGACGCUGAGGCACGAAAGCGUGGGGAUCGAACAGGAUUAGAAACCCGUGUAGUCC
rnacentral:rRNA from 1 species